GAUGAACGCUGGCGGCGUGCCUAAUACAUGCAAGUCGAGCGAACAGACGAGGAGCUUGCUCCUCUGACGUUAGCGGCGGACGGGUGAGUAACACGUGGAUAACCUACUAAUAUGACGGGGAUAACUACGGAAAACCGGAGCUAAUACCGGAUAAUAUAUUGAACGGCUGGGUGCAAUGGUGAAAGAGGGUUUUGCUGUCACUAAGAGAUGGAUCCGCGCCGCAUUAGCUAGUUGGUAAGGUAACGGCUUACCAAGGCAACGAUGCGUAGCCGACCUGAGAGGGUGAUCGGCCACACUGGAACUGAGACACGGUCCAGACUCCUACGGGAGGCAGCAGUAGGGAAUCUUGCGCAAUGGGCGAAAGCUUGACCGAGCAACGCCGCGUGAGUGAUGAAGGUCUUCGGAUCGUAAAACUCUGUUAUUAGGGAAGAACAAAUGUGUAAGUAACUAUGGACGUCUUGACGGUACCUAAUCAGAAAGCCACGGCUAACUACGUG
rnacentral:rRNA from 1 species